AAGGGUAUAGCUCAGUGGUAGAGCACAUGCUUAGCAUGCACAAGGGCCUGAGUUCAAUCCCCAGUACCUCCA
rnacentral:tRNA from 1 species